GACUGAAAUGAGACGAAUUUACACCCCUUAUCGAGGAUCCAUUGGAGGGCAAGUCUGGUGCCAGCAGCCGCGGUAAUUCCAGCUCCAAUAGCGUAUGUUAAAGUUGUUGCAGUUAAAAAGCUCGUAGUUGGAUUUCUGGCAGGAGUGACCGGUCACGCACUCUGUGCGUGAACUUGUGUUGUCUCUGGCCAUCCUUGGGGAGAUCCUAUUUGGCAUUAAGUUGUCGGGUAGGGGAUACCCAUCGUUUACUGUGAAAAAAUUAGAGUGUUUAAAGCAGGCUUAUGCCGUUGAAUAUAUUAGCAUGGAAUAAUAAGAUAGGACUUCGGAACUAUUUUGUUGGUUUGCGUUACGAAGUAAUGAUUAAUAGGGACAGUUGGGGGUAUUCGUAUUUCAUUGUCAGAGGUGAAAUUCUUGGAUUUCUGAAAGACGAACUACUGCGAAAGCAUAUACCAAGGAUGUUUUCAUUAAUCAAGAACGAAAGUUAGGGGAUCGAAGAUGAUUAGAUACCAUCGUAGUCUUAACCAUAAACUAUGCCGACUCGGGAUCGGAG
rnacentral:rRNA from 1 species